rnacentral:rRNA from 1 species
CUCCCCGAAAGCUAUUUAGGUAGCGCCUCGUGAAUUCAUCUCCGGGGGUAGAGCACUGUUUCGGCAAGGGGGUCAUCCCGACUUACCAACCCGAUGCAAACUGCGAAUACCGGAGAAUGUUAUCACGGGAGACACACGGCGGGUGCUAACGUCCGUCGUGAAGAGGGAAACAACCCGGACCGCCAGCUAAGGUCCCAAAGUCAUGGUUAAGUGGGAAACGAUGUGGGAAGGCCCAGACAGCCAGGAUGUUGGCUUAGAAGCAGCCAUCAUUUAAAGAAAGCGUAAUAGCUCACUGGUCGAGUCGGCCUGCGCGGAAGAUGUAACGGGGCUAAACCAUGCACCGAAGCUGCGGC